GUACACUCCUACGGGAGGCAGCAGUGGGGAAUUUUGGACAAUGGGCGAAAGCCUGAUCCAGCCAUGCCGCGUGCAGGAUGAAGGCCUUCGGGUUGUAAACUGCUUUUGUACGGAACGAAACGGCCUUUUCUAAUAAAGAGGGCUAAUGACGGUACCGUAAGAAUAAGCACCGGCUAACUACGUGCCAGCAGCCGCGGUAAUACGUAGGGUGCAAGCGUUAAUCGGAAUUACUGGGCGUAAAGCGUGCGCAGGCGGUUAUGUAAGACAGUUGUGAAAUCCCCGGGCUCAACCUGGGAACUGCAUCUGUGACUGCAUAGCUAGAGUACGGUAGAGGGGGAUGGAAUUCCGCGUGUAGCAGUGAAAUGCGUAGAUAUGCGGAGGAACACCGAUGGCGAAGGCAAUCCCCUGGACCUGUACUGACGCUCAUGCACGAAAGCGUGGGGAGCAAACAGGAUUAGAAACCCUGGUAGUCCCAUGA
rnacentral:rRNA from 1 species